rnacentral:rRNA from 1 species
UACGUAGGGUGCAGGCGUUAAUCGGAAUUACUGGGCGUAAAGCGUGCGCAGGCGGUUUCUUAAGUCAGAUGUGAAAGCCCCGGGCUUAACCUGGGAACUGCGUUUGAAACUGGGAGACUUGAGUGUGGCAGAGGGGGGUGGAAUUCCACGUGUAGCAGUGAAAUGCGUAGAUAUGUGGAGGAACACCAAUGGCGAAGGCAGCCCCCUGGGUCAACACUGACGCUCAUGCACGAAAGCGUGGGGAGCAAACGGG